GAUGAACGCUAGCGGCAGGCUUAACACAUGCAAGUCGAGGGGCAACACGGGUAGCAAUACCUGGUGGCGACCGGCGCAAGGGUGCGUAACGCGUGAGCAACAUACCCUAUACAGGGGGAUAAUCCAGGGAAACUUGGUCUAAUAUCCCAUAGGAUUUACAGAUGUCAUCAUCUAUAAAUUAAAGCUUCGGUGGUAUAGGAUUGGCUCGCGUGACAUUAGCUAGAUGGUGGGGUAACGGCCUACCAUGGCCAUGAUGUCUAGGGGUUCUGAGAGGAAGACCCCCCACACUGGGACUGAGACACGGCCCAGACUCCUACGGGAGGCAGCAGUGAGGAAUAUUGGACAAUGGAUGGAAAUCUGAUCCAGCCAUGCCGCGUGCAGGAAGACGGCCCUAUGGGUUGUAAACUGCUUUUAUAUGGGAGCAAUAAGGUCCACGCGUAGACCGAUGAGAGUACCAUAUGAAUAAGCAUCGGCUAACUCCG
rnacentral:rRNA from 1 species